CCUCGUGUCAGUUCUGUGGUAGUGUGAGUCUUAUUGUCCAUCUCCUCGUGUCAGUUCUGUGGUAGUGUGAGUCUUAUUGUCCAUCUCCUCGUGUCAGUUCUGUGGUAGUGUGAGUCUUAUUGGCUGUUUGGUGAGGAGGGUUCACAUUUCCAUGGGCACUGGAUUUCUGCUUCUAAGCCCACAGGUGCGGGCAGGGCCUUAAUACCACAUGGCUCGUUAGUGCUCGUUAAGGCUUGUUACAGCUUUUUUAAUUAGGCCCUCUCACCGUGUGUCCAGCUCAUUCCAUUUGUGAUGACUCACCCCUCAUCUCAUCAUGGAGCCCUUUCUGAUACACACACACACACACACACACACACACAAAAUAUAUGUCUGUGCGCACACGCACACACACACUUGUAUAUACACACACUCGUACACACAGAAAUAGACACACUUAUCCAAUACAUCAUCUCAGGAGACAUCUAUUUUCUUUCCUUGCAGUUUCGUUCAUUACUUGCCUCUUCAAAUCACAGUAGUCUCAUCAAAACUAAUUUCCUUCAAUCGCACAGUAAUAGAGGAGAGCACUGGAGAAAGAUGGAACAUUGCAGAGAGAGAUUGAGGGAAAAAGAGAGAGUGAGGGAGAGAGAGAGGGGGGAGAGAGGGAGAUGAAGAAAGAAUGACAGAGAGAUAUGAAAAGAGGACAACUGACAAAGAGUAAGAGGGGCAUGAUGGAGAAAAUGACAGAGUGAGGACAUGGAGAGAAGAUGAAAGUGGAGAGUGAAGGUCUUAAUACGAAGAUGACGAGUGUGUGUGUGUGUGUGUGUGUGUGUGUGUGUGUGUGUGAGUAUGUGUGUUCAUGUGACUGGCUGUGUGUGUGUGUGUGCGUGUGCGUGUGCGUGUGCGUGUGUGUGUGUGUGUGUGUGUGUGUGUGUGUGUGUGUGUGUGUGUGUGUGUCUGAGUGUCUGGUUGUGCAAGUGUGUAUCUGUCUGUCCGUGUGUGUGAGAGAGAGAGAGUGAGUAUGGAUGAGUGUGUGUCUGUGUGAGUGUGUUCAAAUGAUGUAUUCGUACGUGCAUGCAUAUGAGUGUGUGUGUAAGUGUGAGCAUGUGCAUCUGAACAUGGACGUAUGGUCUUCACUAAGGACCACCUUGCCUUGAGCUCCGUACAUUCACAGACUGGCUGCACUAUCUCAGUCCCUGAUAUGAAGCCUUGCAUGGGUCUCUUUCUCAUUACUAGCCCAGUAGGGGACCGUGGCAGAUUGUGUGAGUGUGUGUGUGCGAUAUCAGGGCCUGUCCCAGCUAUUCUAGGCCCGGUGCCCUCUGUGCCAACGGAAUCAGCGCUAAGGUGAAGAUGAGAGCUACCUGCGAAGCGCAGCAGAGGGAGGAGAGGUGAAAGGGGGCGGCUGGGAGGAUGGAUGAUUAGAUGGCCAUCACUCUGGCAGAAAAAUGUGUGUGACCUCAAAGGGUAUUUUUUUCUGUAAGCUUCAUUGGGUCUUUUCAUGUUCCACCUUUUCCUUUUCCUUCUCUCUCUCUCUCUCUCUCUCUCUCUCUUUCACAGAGGCUCACUCAUAUCCACAUACACAUACUCUCUUUCUCUCUCUCUCUUUCUCGCACACACACACACACACAUACACACACACACACACACACACACACACACCGGCCACUUCCUCUCAAAGUGUCUGAUUAGAUAUUGUCAGUUGAUGCCAGAGCACUGAUGCUAUUUUCCUUUGAUGAUCUUUUUAACUCUUCCUCCCCCUCACUUUCUGCCCUAUCUAUCUAUCUAUCUAUCUAUCUAUCUAUCUAUCUAUCUAUCUAUCUAUCUAUCCAUCUAUCUAUCUACCCAUCUAUCUAUCUAUCUAUCCAUCUAUCUAUCUACAGUAUCUAUCUAUCUAUCUAUCUAUCCAUCUAUCUAUCCAUCUAUCUAUCUAUCUAUCUAUCUAUCUAUCUACCCAUCUAUCUACAGUAUCUAUCUAUCUAUCUAUCUAUCUAUCUAUCUAUCCAUCUAUCUAUCUACCCAUCUAUCUAUAUAUCUACCCAUCUACAGUAUCUAUCCAUCUACCCAUCUAUCUGUCUAUCUAUCUAUCCAUCCAUCCAUCUAUCUAUCUAUCUAUCUAUCUAUCCAUCUAUCUAUCUAUCUACCCAUCUAUCUAUAUAUCUACCCAUCUACAGUAUCUAUCCAUCUACCCAUCUAUCUGUCUAUCUAUCCAUCCAUCCAUCCAUCUAUCUAUCUAAUUUUCUUUUCACUCUCUUCUCUACUUCCCCUCUCCUCCACUCCUUUAUUCAUCUUCCUGCUUUCUCUUUUUUUUCCUUUUUCCUUUUUUCUUACCCUCAGGUGGUGUCUCUUACUUUCCCUGAAUGAUCUCCUUGUCACAGUAUUGAUCUCUGUCUCACAGUAUUGAUCUCCUUCUCACAGUAUUGAUUAUUGAUCUCCUUCUCACAGUAUUGAUGAUUGAUCUCUGUCUCACAGUAUUGAUCUCUGUCUCACAGUAUUGAUCUCCUUGUCACAGUAUUGAUCUCUGUCUCACAGUAAUGAUCUCUGUCUCACAGUAUUGAUCUCUGUCUCACAGUAAUGAUCUCUGUCUCACAGUAAUGAUCUCUGUCUCACAGUAUUGAUCUCUGUCUCACAGUAUUGAUCUCUGUCUCACAGUAAUGAUCUCUGUCUCACAGUAUUGAUCUCUGUCUCACAGUAUUGAUUAAUGAUCUCUGUCUCACAGUAAUAAUCUCCUUCUCACAGUAAUGAUCUCUGUCUCACAGUAUUGAUCUCUGUCUCACAGUAUUGAUUAAUGAUCUCUGUCUCACAGUAAUAAUCUCCUUCUCACAGUAUUGAUCUCUGUCUCACAGUAUUGAUUAAUGAUCUCUGUCUCACAGUAAUAAUCUCCUUCUCACAGUAUUGAUCUCUGUCUCACAGUAUUGAUUAAUGAUCUCUGUCUCACAGUAUUGAUCUCCUUCUCACAGUAUUGAUCUCUGUCUCACAGUAAUGAUCUCUGUCUCACAGUAAUGAUCUCUGUCUCUGAAUGAUCUCUGUCUCACAGUAUUGAUUAAUGAUCUCUGUCUCACAGUAUUGAUCUCCUUCUCACAGUAUUGAUCUCUGUCUUACAGUAUUGAUCUCUGUCUCACAGUAUUGAUCUCUGUCUCACAGUAUUGAUCUCUGUCUCACAGUAUUGAUCUCUGUCUCACAGUAAUGAUCUCUGUCUCUGAAUGAUCUCUGUCUCACAGUAUUGAUUAUUGAUCUCUGUCUCACAGUAUUGAUCUCCUUCUCACAGUAUUGAUCUCUGUCUUACAGUAUUGAUCUCUGUCUCACAGUAUUGAUCUCUGUCUCACAGUAUUGAUCUCUGUCUCACAGUAAUAAUCUCCUUCUCACAGUAUUGAUCUCUGUCUCACAGUAUUGAUUAAUGAUCUCUGUCUCACAGUAUUGAUCUCCUUCUCACAGUAUUGAUCUCUGUCUCACAGUAAUGAUCUCUGUCUCACAGUAAUGAUCUCUGUCUCUGAAUGAUCUCUGUCUCACAGUAUUGAUUAAUGAUCUCUGUCUCACAGUAUUGAUCUCCUUCUCACAGUAUUGAUCUCUGUCUUACAGUAUUGAUCUCUGUCUCACAGUAUUGAUC
ensembl:lncRNA